rnacentral:lncRNA from 1 species
GGGGUUCUGGGAGUUGUAGUCCCUGGGGGAGCUGCUUUUACGCAGUGUUUUGAGGUGCAGGACUGCAAUGCCCGCACUUCCGGACCCCAGACUCUUCCUACGGCGACUGACACCUCAGACACGCGUUGUGGGGGGCGGCGCUCUGGCUCCGGGGCUGUGCCCAGCGCGAGCGUGGCCGGCACCCACUUGCUGCAGAGCCGGCACUGCACUGGGGUUCUUGGGGGCGGCUCCUCCAGACGUCUCUGCGGGUUGUCGGGUGCUGCCGAGUUGGGUUGGGGGACGCUACAGGUAGUGGGUCCGGAGCAGCGGCUGGCCCCUCAUCUCACUGCCCUUCCUCGGACCCCACCGUCCUCUGGAAGCUUGUGCAGGGCACCUGCCACUGUGACCACCUGGACGCAGAUACCUGCUUUCCCACAACAGCAAGGAAGAACCAUGGCCCAGGGGUCACUGUCAUUCGGGGACGUGGCUGUGGGCUUCACCCGGAAAGAGUGGCAGCAGCUGGACCUGGAGCAGAGGACCCUGUACCAGGAUGUGAUGCUGGAGAACUACAGCCACCUGCUCUCUGUGGGCUGAACUGUCUGCUUGCUUGGAAGGCCCAGCUGGCUCAGCACAAAUCCUUUAACCGUUUCUCCCCAAGAGGGUGUCAAGUCAGCAAACCAGCUGUGAUCUCCAGUUUGGAGCAGGGGAAGGAGCCAUGGAUGGAGGAGGAAGAGAUAAGGACGUGGAGCUUCCCAGAAAGCUGACUUCAUGAGACCGAGGAUCUCGUUCGUUGAUCGAUGCUACAUAUUCAGCAUGUUAGAUAAUGAGGUUGGUGAGAUUGAUGAAAUCCCGCCCACCAGGGCCGACCCACAAAGAGCCACUUUAUGAAGAACAUGCUCCUGAACUCCACUCCACAACCAGCUUUUGAAAAGAAAAAUCUGAAAAAAUUUGACCUCAGUUAAACUGGUCCAAAUGCCUGAGCAUAACCAAAAUCUUUCCUCAUUCACUCUUCACGUGGACCGUGUUUAAUUUGGUUGCUGGUGAUCAUAUUUGUUUUAGUAAAGGCUGUCACUCUAUCUUGGGCGAAGA